rnacentral:rRNA from 1 species
UCAGUCGACUCCUACGGGGAGGCAGCAGUGGGGGAAUAUUGCACAAUGGGCGCAAGCCUGAUGCAGCCAUGCCGCGUGUAUGAAGAAGGCCUUCGGGUUGUAAAGUACUUUCAGCAGUGAGGAAGGCAGGUACGUUAAUAGCGUGCUUGUUUGACGUUAGCUGCAGAAGAAGCACCGGCUAACUCCGUGCCAGCAGCCGCGGUAAUACGGAGGGGUGCGAGCGUUAAUCGGAAUUACUGGGCGUAAAGCGCAUGCAGGUGGUUUGUUAAGUCAGAUGUGAAAGCCCGGGGCUCAACCUCGGAAUUGCAUUUGAAACUAGGCAGACUAGAGUACUGUAGAGGGGGGUAGGAAUUUCAGGUGUAGCGGUGAAAUGCGUAGAGAUCUGAAGGAAUACCGGUGGCGAAGGCGGCCCCCUGGACAGAUACUGACACUCAGAUGCGAAAGCGUCGGGGAGCAAACAGGAUUAGAUACCCUGGUAG